rnacentral:rRNA from 1 species
CCUACGGGUGGCAGCAGUAGGGAAUCUUCCGCAAUGGACGCAAGUCUGACGGAGCAACGCCGCGUGAGUGAAGAAGGUUUUCGGAUCGUAAAACUCUGUUGUUAGAGAAGAACAAGUGCUAGAGUAACUGUUAGCGCCUUGACGGUAUCUAACCAGAAAGCCACGGCUAAAUACGUGCCAGCAGCCGCGGUAAUACGUAGGUGGCAAGCGUUGUCCGGAUUUAUUGGGCGUAAAGCGAGCGCAGGCGGUUCCUUAAGUCUGAUGUGAAAGCCCCCGGCUCAACCGGGGAGGGUCAUUGGAAACUGGGGAACUUGAGUGCAGAAGAGGAGAGUGGAAUUCCAUGUGUAGCGGUGAAAUGCGUAGAUAUAUGGAGGAACACCAGUGGCGAAGGCGACUCUCUGGUCUGUAACUGACGCUGAGGCUCGAAAGCGUGGGUAGCAAACAGGAUUAGAUACCCGGGUAGUC